UAGGGAAUCUUCCGCAAUGGACGCAAGUCUGACGGAGCAACGCCGCGUGAGUGAAGAAGGAUUUCGGUUCGUAAAACUCUGUUGUUAGAGAAGAACAGCGCAUAGAGUAACUGUUAUGCGUGUGACGGUAUCUAACCAGAAAGCCACGGCUAACUACGUGCCAGCAGCCGCGGUAAUACGUAGGUGGCAAGCGUUGUCCGGAUUUAUUGGGCGUAAAGCGAGCGCAGGCGGUCAAUUAAGUCUGAUGUGAAAGCCCCCGGCUCAACCGGGGAGGGUCAUUGGAAACUGGUUGACUUGAGUGCAGAAGAGGAGAGUGGAAUUCCAUGUGUAGCGGUGAAAUGCGUAGAUAUAUGGAGGAACACCAGUGGCGAAGGCGACUCUCUGGUCUGUAACUGACGCUGAGGUUCGAAAGCGUGGGUAGCAAUCAGG
rnacentral:rRNA from 1 species